ACGCUCGACACCUACGGGAGGCAGCAGUGGGGAAUAUUGCACAAUGGGGGAAACCCUGAUGCAGCGACGCCGCGUGAGCGAAGAAGUAUUUCGGUAUGUAAAGCUCUAUCAGCAGGGAANAAACUGACGGUACCUGACUAAGAAGCACCGGCUAAAUACGUGUCAGCAGCCGGACGGUAAUCUGACGGCGGGCUGGACAAGGC
rnacentral:rRNA from 1 species